rnacentral:antisense_RNA from 16 species
UGCGGUAGCGAGGGAAUUUUUUUGGUGUUACUAGUCGCCUAUUUAUCAUUGCGUUUGCGUAGUCAUUUCGCAGAUAAAGCAACGACGCAAC